GCCUGGAAGACCUUUGAGCAGGGCAUUUACAAGAUCAGAUCUCUGCUUGGGAGAUUUGUCUGGCAGUAUAGCUGAGAAUGGAGUAGAGAGAAAGAGGCUGGAGUCAAUAAAUCUAGUUGGGAAGCUAUUGCAAUAAUCUCAAAGAAGAAAGGAUGGCCUGGAAUUGAAUGGUAGCUGGGAUAAUGGAAUCUGGGAACUGAAGGCAAAAUCUACUUGGCAACCUGUGGGGCUAUCUCAAACUGAGUUGUUUUUUUUGUCCUUCCCUCCAUCCACCAAAAGAAGUUCAACCAGAUUCUAAAUCUAAUCGUACCUCAAAAGAAAUUUGCAGGAAGCUGCUUUGGAAAUGGCCUCGAGUAUUAGACUAAAUCCCUCCAAGGCUUCAAUCUGGGAAUGGAGGAAUGGAAUUAAAUCUGUGGAACUGUCCAGCAUGAGCAAGGGUGGGAAGAUUGCUGUUGAAAGAAGAAUUUUUGCAGCUAGCAGUUGAGUCCCUCGAAUCCCUCCAGACAACGGCCAGUGUGAACACCCUGAUGGUCUUUCAGCCAUGAUUCCUGAUUGCAAGCGAUAAUCUGAGCCGUCCAGUGAGCACAUCUAAGGGUAAAUGAAGUCAGGAAGGAAACCAUAAAGGCAAACGUUCCUAGGAGGAAUGCGUGUCAGUACAGAGCGUCCACAGCAGCCCCGCGGGCAUUGAGCUAUUUCCUCUGCUGUGUGAUCCUGUCCACCGCUUUGUGAAAUUGUUUGUUUACACUGAGACAUCUGAGGAACAUCAGGAG
rnacentral:lncRNA from 1 species